rnacentral:rRNA from 1 species
AGGGUGCAAGCGUUAAUCGGAAUUACUGGGCGUAAAGCGCACGUAGGCGGUUCAGUUAGCCAGCCGUUAAAUCCCCGGGCUCAACCUGGGAAUUGCGGUUGGAACUACUGGGCUGGAGUACAGUAGAGGGGUGUGGAAUUUCGGGUGUAGCGGUGAAAUGCGUAGAUAUCUGAAGGAACAUCAGUGGCGAAGGCGACACCCUGGACUGAUACUGACGCUGAGGUGCGAAAGCGUGGGGAGCAA